ensembl:snoRNA SNORA63 Small nucleolar RNA SNORA63
AGGCAGGAUCUCGCUACAUUGUAGCUGUGAAGUGCUGCAUUGUCGUUGUUCCCUGCUCAAAAGAAAACUGUGACCUUCCAGGACCUGUCUGCACUGUGCAGUAGCAGUAGGAAUGCUUGGUCUCAGACAU